AUUGAACGCUGGCGGCAUGCUUUACACAUGCAAGUCGAACGAUAACAGGUUAAGCUGACGAGUGGCGAACGGGUGAGUAAUGCAUCGGAACGUGCCCGGUCGUGGGGGAUAACGCAGCGAAAGCUGCGCUAAUACCGCAUACGAUCUAAGGAUGAAAGCGGGGGACCGUAAGGCCUCGCGCGAUCGGAGCGGCCGAUGUCAGAUUAGGUAGUUGGUGGGGUAAAGGCUCACCAAGCCAACGAUCUGUAGCUGGUCUGAGAGGACGACCAGCUACAGUGGGACUGAGACACGGCCCAGACUCCUACGGGAGGCAGCAGUGGGGAAUUUUGGACAAUGGGCGAAAGCCUGAUCCAGCAAUGCCGCGUGCAGGAAGAAGGCCUUCGGGUUGUAAACUGCUUUUGUACGGAGCGAAAAGGUCUCCUCUAAUACAGGGGGCUCAUGACGGUACCGUAAGAAUAAGCACCGGCUAACUACGUGCCAGCCGCCGCAGUAA
rnacentral:rRNA from 1 species